rnacentral:rRNA from 1 species
AACGCGAAGAACCUUACCCACCUUUGACAUGUACGGAAGUCGCUAGAGAUAGCUUCGUGCUCGAAAGAGAGCCGUAACACAGGUGCUGCAUGGCUGUCGUCAGCUCGUGUCGUGAGAUGUUGGGUUAAGUCCCGCAACGAGCGCAACCCUUGUCAUUAGUUGCUACAUUCAGUUGGGCACUCUAAUGAGACUGCCGGUGACAAACCGGAGGAAGGUGGGGAUGACGUCAAGUCCUCAUGGCCCUUAUAGGUGGGGCUACACACGUCAUACAAUGGCUGGUACAAAGGGUUGCCAACCCGCGAGGGGGAGCUAAUCCCAUAAAACCAGUCGUAGUCCGGAUCGCAGUCUGCAACUCGACUGCGUGAAGUCGGAAUCGCUAGUAAUCGUGGAUCAGAAUGUCACGGUGAAUACGUUCCCGGGUCUUGUACACACCG